AAUGGUGACUCUAGCGGUGGGGUCCACCUCUUCCCAUUCCGAACAGAGAAGUUAAGCCCACCAGCGCAGAUGGUACUGCAAUUCCUGUGGGAGAGUAUGUCGUCGCCUGAU
rnacentral:rRNA from 1 species